UCCGGCUUAUCACCGGCAGUCCCUCUAGAGUGCCCAACUAAAUGCUGGCAACUAAGGACAAGGGUUGCGCUCGUUGCGGGACUUAACCCAACAUCUCACGACACGAGCUGACGACAGCCAUGCACCACCUGCACACAGGCCACAAGGGAAUACCUAUCUCUAGGCACGUCCUGUGCAUGUCAAACCCAGGUAAGGUUCUUCGCAUUGCAUCGAAUUAAUCCACAUGCUCCGCCGCUUGUGCGGGCCCCCGUCAAUUUCUUUGAGUUUUAGCCUUGCGGCCGUACUCCCCAGGCGGAGUGCUUAACGCGUUGGCUGCGACACCGCAAAGGUCAAUACCCACAGCAUCUAGCACUCAUCGUUUACGGCGUGGACUAC
rnacentral:misc_RNA from 1 species